GGCUAGAUGGCCGAGAUUUAGGCGGUAAAUUGUAAAUUUACAGACGAAAAUUAAAAUUUCUCUGGCUA
rnacentral:tRNA from 1 species